GUAUGGAAGAAAAAAAGGAAAGAAGAAAGAAAGAGUGAAAUGAAAACACUGCACAACGUAGGACUGUUUGCGUUGUGUUUUGGAUGAGCAUUUUUCUUUUUUUGUAGACCAUUAGUCGUUUUAAUUUUGUACGCA
rnacentral:ribozyme from 1 species